UGGGGAAUUUUGGACAAUGGGCGAAAGCCUGAUCCAGCAAUGCCGCGUGUGUGAAGAAGGCCUUCGGGUUGUAAAGCACUUUUGUCCGGAAAGAAAUCCUUGGCUCUAAUACAGUCGGGGGAUGACGGUACCGGAAGAAUAAGCACCGGCUAACUACGUGCCAGCAGCCGCGGUAAUACGUAGGGUGCAAGCGUUAAUCGGAAUUACUGGGCGUAAAGCGUGCGCAGGCGGUUUGCUAAGACCGAUGUGAAAUCCCCGGGCUCAACCUGGGAACCGCAUUGGUGACUGGCAGGCUAGAGUAUGGCAGAGGGGGGUAGAAUUCCACGUNUAGCAGUGAAAUGCGUAGAGAUGUGGAGGAAUACCGAUGGCGAAGGCAGCCCCCUGGGCCAAUACUGACGCUCAUGCACGAAAGCGUGGGGAGCAAACAGGAUUAGAUACCCUGGUAGUCCACGCCCUAAACGAUGUCAACUAGUUGUUGGGGAUUCAUUUCCUUAGUAACGUAGCUAACGCGUGAAGUUGACCGCCUGGGGAGUACGGUCGCAAGAUUAAAACUCAAAUGAAUUGACGGGGUCAUAGCUGUUUCCUG
rnacentral:rRNA from 1 species